CUCAAAGACUGAAGGGGAGCAGAAGAGUCACUGAUACAUUGGGAAGUGUGGAGGAAACCGGAGCACCCGGAGGACACCCAUGCGAUCACAGGGAGAACAUACGAACUCCACAUGGACAGCACCCGAGGUCGGGAUCGAACUGGGGUCUCUGGCGCUGCGAGGUAGCGGCUCUACCAGCUGUGCCACCUGUUGCUACCAGCUGCUGCAACUGUGCUGUCAUUUUAUCACCCAAUAAAGAUUUACGAUGGA